CCUACGGGUGGCAGCAGUGGGGAAUAUUGCGCAAUGGGCGAAAGCCUGACGCAUCUACUCCUCUUUAUUUAUUAAUUUCUUCUUAUCUUAAACCUCUUUCAGCAGUUAAGAACGGUCACUGUGCUAAUCAGCAGUGAAUUGACGGUACCUGCAAAGGAAGCACCGGCUAACUCCGUGCCCGCAGCCGCGGUAAUACGGAGGGUGCGAGCGUUAAUCGGAAUUACUGGGCGUAAAGCGCUCGUAGGCGGUAUGUCAAGUCAAGGGUGAAAUCCCCGCGCUCAACGUGGGAACUGCCUUUGAAACUGGCAAACUGGAGUGUGUGAGAGGAUAGUGGAAUUCCAGGUGUAGGAGUGAAAUCCGUAGAUAUCUGGAGGAACAUCAGUGGCGAAGGCGACUAUCUGGCACAUAACUGACGCUGAGGAGCGAAAGCGUGGGUAGCAAACAGGAUUAGAGACCCCAGUAGUC
rnacentral:rRNA from 1 species